GGGUUGUGAGGUUAAGCGACUAAGCGUACACGGUGGAUGCCCUGGCAGUCAGAGGCGAUGAAGGGCGUGCUAAUCUGCGAUAAGCGCCGGUAAGGUGAUAUGAACCGUUAUAACCGGCGAUACCCGAAUGGGGAAACCCAGUGUGACUCGUCACACUAUCAUUAACUGAAUCCAUAGGUUAAUGAGGCGAACCGGGGGAACUGAAACAUCUAAGUACCCCGAGGAAAAGAAAUCAACCGAGAUUCCCCCAGUAGCGGCGAGCGAACGGGGAGGAGCCCAGAGCCUGAAUCAGCAUGUGUGUUAGUGGAAGCGUCUGGAAAGGCGCGCGAUACAGGGUGACAGCCCCGUACACAAAAGCGCAUGUGCUGUGAGCUCGAUGAGUAGGGCGGGACACGUGGUAUCCUGUCUGAAUAUGGGGGGACCAUCCUCCAAGGCUAAAUACUCCUGACUGACCGAUAGUGAACCAGUACCGUGAGGGAAAGGCGAAAAGAACCCCGGCGAGGGGAGUGAAAAAGAACCUGAAACCGUGUACGUACAAGCAGUGGGAGCCCCACCACUAAGCCAGUGGUGAACUCCACAUACGCAUCCUUUGCUGAGGAUACGGUUAACGGAGCGAAAGCGACGUUCAACCUCAAAACAAGCAGAGGGGGCUUAGUGGUGGGGUGACUGCGUACCUUUUGUAUAAUGGGUCAGCGACUUAUAUUCUGUAGCAAGGUUAACCGUAUAGGGGAGCCGGAGGGAAACCGAGUCUUAAU
rnacentral:rRNA from 1 species